ACUUAUGUAGUUUAAUAAAAACCUUUCAUUUUCAAUGAAAAAAUAAGGAUAAUUAAAUAACCUUUAUAAGUA
rnacentral:tRNA from 1 species